rnacentral:rRNA from 1 species
GACGAACGCUGGCGGCGUGCCUAACACAUGCAAGUCGAACGGAAAGGCCCUGCUUUUGUGGGGUGCUCGAGUGGCGAACGGGUGAGUAACACGUGAGUAACCUGCCCUUGACUUUGGGAUAACUUUAGGAAACUGGGGCUAAUACCGGAUAGGAGCUCCUGCUGCACGGUGGGGGUUGGAAAGUUUCGGCGGUUGGGGCUGGACUCGCGGCUUAUCAGCCUGUUGGUGGGGUAGUGGCUUACCAAGGCUUUGAAGGGUAGGCGGCCUGGGAGGGUGACCGGGCACCAUGCGACUGCGAUACGCAGCAGAAUGCUACGGUAGGCAGCGGGGGGAAAUAUGGCACAGUAGGCCCGCGCCUGUGACGGCGGCGCCGGGUUCGGAAUGCCGGCUUUCGGGUUGAGAACCGCUGUCGCCUGAGACGAAGCGGGAGUGACGGUAAUGGAUAAAGAAGCACCGGCUAACUACGUG